UAUUAAAUCUUGACAUUGACAAAUAAAAAGUAACCGUUGAAGUGAGAAUUUAGGACAAACAAAAAAAAAUAUGAUCCAAAUUAGAAAAAAUGUUUUGGCAAUAUUUACAGAUAGAAUUAUCCAAUAAAUUAAUACGUUGCAAAUGUGCAGGAAAUUUACAAUGACCUAUCUGCAAUCUACUUAAUAUAGUAUAACCAAACAAUUUACAGAUUUUGUUCGAAUCAAGCCAAGUUUCAUUUAGUAAAAUGAUAUCAAAAUGUGAUGUAAAGUUGUAAAUAAAGUUUUUAAAUUGAAAUAUUUUAGACAGAAAGCGUCUUGAGUUUCAAUGAACAAUAUUAAUUUCAUUUAAAGAUGUAAUGGUCAUGUUGAAAAAUUAGAUAUGAGUAUUUCCUUAAUUAAUUUAGAUGAAAUUGUAUCAGAAUUAGUUUGAGCUUUCUUAACUAGCUCAAUAACAGUCUUAGUAAUUGUGUUGAGUACAAUGUCUGAGUUAAUGAUGUCAAUAACUAAUGCCCUUUUUUGAGGAGAUUUAUUUUGCGUUGGGCUGUUACUAGACACAGGGGUAUUUGAAUUAAUUACAGAGUUAACCGAUUUUGAAGUCACUGAUGCAUAAGAUGUUUUGCCUAGAAUUUUAUCUUUGAUUUGAGACAAUUUCAUCGAUUUAGUGGGACAGCUAUUAGAUACUGCUACAUGUUGUCCAUUACAAUUAACACAUUUAGGAUUGUCUUUGUUGAUACAGGAUCUAUAAUCAUGAGCACCGGCGCAUAUGGAACAAACUUGCUUACUUCUGCAGGAACUGCUUCCAUGACCAAAUUUGUAACAAGUGAAGCAUUGGAGUAGAGGUCUAAUGAAUUCACGCACAUCCAGCCAAAUAUGAUCAUACGUUACGUGAUCAGGUCGCUGCGUAGAGAGGAAAGUUACUAAAACUGUAGGAAGAGGAUGAAAACUUCCAUCUUCUUUCUUUUUUUGAAACGUUUAACACCGAUGAUAUCUACAGUAGAUUUUAAGUUAUUUAAGAGAUCUUCCUCAGAUAUUUCAGUAGGAGCUCUUAUAACUCCCUGAGAUUCCAGCUGAUUAUUGGGUAUCCUAGCCUGAAGUUUAUGUUUCUCUAAUAAAUCUUUAUUUAAUAAAAAUUCGUUAGCCUGUUUCAUUGAUCGAAAACAUAUUUUGAAUGCAGUAGAACCCAUAGUACGAAUAUAGAAUACACCAGAUACAUCUAUGUUUUGGCUGAAAGAGAACCUGUACAACGGUUUAUAAUUGAAGAAAAUUACAAGCCGUAUGUUAUUGUUAAAUAAAUAAUAUUGCUUUAUAAUGUUGCGCGUAAACAAAUACUAAUAGGUGCCAUUACAUCAACAUUAGAGGAGACUUACGGAUAUACACUUUUGUAUAUUCCACGGAGGCGCCAUAUUCGGCUCGCACCUUUACGAUCCAAUCAAACAAGUUUUUGAAUCAAUACCGAAAAUUGAAUCCCAUGACCAGAUUGUGAAUGAAACAUUAAUAAUGUCAACAGCUGUCGGCAAUGAUGUACAUCACAACAAUACAGGAAAUAACUUAAGGCGCCAUACAACCGCUCAUACAUCUAAGCAGACCACUUACAUACGUCUAUCUAAACCCUACAGAUGGCGAGGUCGAUCGAAUUCAACAAGUAAUAAUCUCAUCAAUGUAUAACGUAAUAUCGAAAUAUAAUAUUUAGAUAUAGAA